rnacentral:rRNA from 1 species
UACGAAGGGGGCUAGCGUUGCUCGGAAUUACUGGGCGUAAAGCGCACGUAGUCGGUUAUCUAAGUCGGAUGUGAAAUCCCCGGGCUCAACCUGGGAAUUGCAUUCGAUACUGGAUAGCUAGAGUUCGGCAGAGGGAAGUGGAAUUUCGGGUGUAGCGGUGAAAUGCGUAGAUAUCCGAAGGAACAUCAGUGGCGAAAGCGACUUCCUGGACCAGAACUGACGAUCAGGCACGAAAGCGUGGGGAGCAAACAGG